GCGUGGGUAUAUAGCCGCCAGUGAAUGGGUUAGUUGCUGAACACUAGCAUGAAACUAGGGGUAAGGAUAAAGUAAUGCCAGUUACCAAAACUAAGUGAAAACCAUCCAAUGCAAAUAACCAUAAAUAUAUAUAAGUGUUGGGAAAAGGACUGGGUUUACAUGCCUUUUAAAACGUUAACCUGGGUUGUGUAGCUUAGCCG
rnacentral:lncRNA from 1 species